UGCCAGCAGCCGCGGUAAUACGUAGGUGGCAAGCGUUGUCCGGAAUCACUGGGCGUAAAGGGCGCGUAGGCGGGUUUUUAAGUCAGAUGUGAAAUGUCCGGGCUCAACCCGGGAUAUGCAUCUGAUACUGGAAGUCUUGAGUGCUGGAGAGGGCAGUGGAAUUCCUAGUGUAGCGGUGAAAUGCGUAGAUAUUAGGAGGAACACCAGUGGCGAAGGCGGCUGCCUGGACAGUAACUGACGCUGAGGCGCGAAAGCGUGGGGAGCAAACAGGACUAGAUACCCUGGUAGUCCACGCCGUAAACGAUGGGUACUAGGUGUAGAGGGUAUCGACCCCCUCUGUGCCGGAGUUAACACAAUAAGUACCCCGCCUGGGGAGUACGGCCGCAAGGUUGAAACUCAAAGGAAUUGACGGGGGCCCGCACAAGU
rnacentral:rRNA from 1 species